UACGAAGGUGGCAAGCGUUGUUCGGAUUCACUGGGCGUACAGGGAGCGUAGGCGGUUAGGAAAGCCCUCCGUGAAAUCUCCGGGCCUAACCCGGAAAGUGCAGAGGGGACUGCUUGGCUAGAGGAUGGGAGAGGAGCGCGGAAUUCCCGGUGUAGCGGUGAAAUGCGUAGAGAUCGGGAGGAAGGCCGGUGGCGAAGGCGGCGCUCUGGAACAUUUCUGACGCUGAGGCUCGAAAGCGUGGGGAGCAAACAGG
rnacentral:rRNA from 1 species